UGAGAAGGUGGGUUUAGUACCGCAACGGGCGCAACCCUUGAUCUUAGUUGCCAGCAUUCAGUUGGGCACUUUAAGGUGACUGCCGGUGACAAACCGGAGGAAGGUGGGGAUGACGUCAAAUCAUCAUGCCCCUUAUGACGUGGGCUACACACGUGCUACAAUGGACAGAACAAAGGGGUGCAAGACCGCAAGGUUUAGCCAAUCCCAUAAAUCUGUUUUCAGUUCGGAUCGCAGUUUGCAACUUGAAUGCGUGAAGCUGGAAUCGCUAGUAAUCGCGGAUCAGCAUGCCGCGGUGAAUACGUUCCCGGGCCUUGUACACACCGCCCGUCACACCACGAGAGUUUGCAACACCCGAAGUCGGUGAGGUAACCUUUAUGGAGCCAGCCGCCGAAGGUGGGGCAGAUGAUUGGGGGAAGUCGAACCAAGGGAUUGGGCUG
rnacentral:rRNA from 1 species